UACAGAGGUCCCGAGCGUUGUUCGGAUUUACUGGGCGUAAAGGGUGCGUAGGUGGUCGGGUAAGUCUCAUGUGAAAUCCCGCAGCUUAACUGCGGAACGGCAUGGGAUACUAUUCGGCUCGAGGAUUGGAGGGGGACUGGAAUUCCCGGUGUAGCAGUGAAAUGCGUAGACAUCGGGAGGAACACCAGUGGCGAAGGCGAGUCCCUGGACAAUUCCUGACGCUGAGGCACGAAAGCCAGGGGAGCAAACAGG
rnacentral:rRNA from 1 species